GUUCUUAACUAAAACUUUACCUAACAAAAUAUACCUGUUGGAGAAGUUGUUUAGUUUUAAGAUGGACCCGGGGAAGGAUGUCGAGGGGAAUUUGAGUGACUUUAGCAUAAUUGUUAAGAGUCUAGCUCAUAAUGAUAAAAUAUUUGAUGAUGAGGAUUUAGCUGUCAUAUUGCUAAACUCUUUGCCCGAAUCUUACAGAGAAAUGAAAAAUGUCAUAAAGUAUGGUAGGGACACUCUCACUCAAGCUAUUGUUUCUGAUGCUUUAAAAUCAAGAGAACUUGAAUUAAAAAGAGAAAACGGAAUUCAUUCUCGUGAAGAGAGUCUAUUUGUUAGGGGAAGAUCUGAAAAGAAAGAAUUCAACUUCCAUAACAAGAAGGGGAGAGGAAAAUCUAAAAUGAGAUCCAAAUCUAAAGAUAAAAGCGGUAAGAAAUGUUAUCACUGUGGAAAGUUAGGACAUUUCAAGAAAGACUGCUUUGAUUGGAAAAGGAAACAAAAAGACCCAAACAAUUCUGAUGUUGCUAAUGCUGCUAUUGCUACUGAAUUUAAUAGUUUGCAUGUCAUGAAUGUGUCUGAAGAAGAAUUUGACAAAAAUUGGAUUCUUG
rnacentral:lncRNA from 1 species